UUCUCAUCUUCUAUUUUACAAAUUUUCCGAAAUUUUUUUUAUUGAUCGUUAAUCAUAUUGAAUGUUAAUUAGAUGACACGUAAAUCGAUUUAUUUAACGAAAAUAAAAUGUAUUUCAAUGAUCGAGUCGUAUCGUAUACAAAUGGUCAAUCGUAAAAUUUAUCGAGUAUACUUCAUAUAAAGAAUCGUAAGUAAGUUUGUUAGACUUUUAGGGUAAUAAAAAUAUUAUUACUAUUCUCUAUUUUUAGUACAGGCAAAAGGAAUUCAGAAAAAUAAUUCUUCAAUACCCUCCGCCCGGUUCGCGCAUUUUCUGUAUAACCGGGUAUACCGUUACAACCAUAAACGUUUUACGAUACGAGUAUUUCUGCUUCCUUUGCUCGAGAAAGCUGUAUUUUCCGGUUCAACUUAAUGAAAUUCGAAAUUGGUUAUCUUUUGAUAUGUAUUAAGAAAAAAAAAUAAAAAAAAAAAAAGAGAGAAAAAAAAGAGAAAAAAAUUCUUUAAAAUUUUGUAUAAGGGAGGAAGAAAUAUAAUAUCGUUUUCAAGGCUAAUUUUAAUGUCUAGAUAAAUAAAACAAAGGAACAGUACGGAAGACAAAUGCAUUCGAAACUGAUAUUCAGAAUGGGAAAUAGCUUUUCUAAUUGUCCACCAGGGUGACACCACCUAAAAAGUCAGCUCUACUUUUUAGAAACUUUUAGUCUUUUAGAAACUUUUAGUCUGAGUACACCGCUCGUACGAAUGAGUUUCGAUCCCUUAUUACGCGUUGAUGUAUAUAUAUAUAUAUAUACUAUUAGACUGUUGCUAUUACGUAAUAGCAACCAAUUUUGUCAAUUAAAAAUUGUGCAAUUAUUUAUUUUAUUAAAUUAUCAAUUAAAUUUUCCUUUUAUUCACGUAUCAAUUCUUAUCACGUAGAUAAGAAUUCUUUGAUUUUCGUGUUUCGACGUUUCUUCAUAAUUUUAAAAAUUAGUGAAUAUCGUGGAUAUAUUUGGUUAUUUUUGGAACAAUAUCUUUUUUUUUUUGUUUUGUUUUUUGUUCUUGUUUGUUUUCGGACUUUUGUGACAAGUAAAACAGAGAAUGAAUUUUGUUCUCACUGAUACAGGAAGUGGAUCGAGAAUAUGUCCGUCAGCAUUCCUACGAUGACUAAGGGCCAUUUCUCGUGGGCAGAUGUCCGCAAGGUCGUUGUCACGACACUGUGCGCCGUCAGGAUGACUGGAGUACAAUAGUCUAUAUAUGUAUCAUGUUUUUAAGUAAAUUGAUAUAAUAUUAACUUUUCUGAUUGAAAAGGAAAUGUGGAAAAAGGGGGAAAAGAAAAAAAAACGAAGAAAAUAAGGAACUUUGUUGACUUUCAAUUUCACGCGAUUUCACCUUUUGAAAUGAAUUUUUUAAAUUCAUAGAAAAUAAAAAUGUCGUUUUAGUUUGCGAGUAUAUAUCUCGCUAUUACAUUUGCAUGUCUUUCCUUGUUAACUUCUUUCAACGGAAGCAAUAAAAAUGAGUCAAGAGUUUCUCUUCUCACACCCACACCCACCCCUUUUUUCUUUCUUUUUUCUUAUUUCUCCAUUUCAUCAGUCACAUGGGGCAAAACGAUUAUAUCCAAAGACGAUAAAUAUAGAAACGAAGGUACACGACGGGUGAUAUUUUCGGCAGGGUACGCGUCCCUGCACGCGAAACAUAGCGGCGAACCUAAAUCCAUUUACAUAAAAUGUUAGUGUCCGUAUAAGAUUCGCGAAGAGAGUGGAAAAGAGUGUGUGUACGUGCACGCACGCGCACGCGCGCGCGCGCAUGUGUGUGUGUAUAUAUGUGUGAAAGAGAAAGAGAAGAGAGAGAGAGGGAAGAGAAAGAGGAGUGUCUCGAGGAAGAAUGCGGCCCUUUAAAUUUCGCUUUACCUUCGACGAAGGAAGGGCCUUUCGUACUAAGACCAGUUUUCGAGGCACGUCGGCUGUAGGCGCGGACAAGCCAUUUCCAUUCGGUUAAGGAUUAAAUCGUACGUUAAAUCGCAAUUCGACUUUGCAAUACGAGAGGCGAUCAAUUCUGUUCGCAAAAUCAAAAUAAAAACGAAAAAAAUACAAAAAAAAAGAAACCAAAAAAAAAAGAAGGUGUAUAAAGUAAAUUUUCUAUUUUUUAUAACAUUACGAGAAUCAUAUACAACACAUGUGGAAUUAUAAUGUUUCACGUAAAACUUCUUUUCCAGUAUUUCAUUCUUUGAAUACAUUAAUGAUGUGAAAUAUUAAAUACGAUAUUACAGAAAUAUGGAAAUCAAUUUUAUUAUCAUUAAUAAUCAUUUGUACAUAAAUAACUUUGGCUAGCCUAUUAAAAGCUCAUUAAUACUUAAAAAGAGAGGUUGGUAACAUUAUCAAUAUUGGAACAAUAGAAAUCCAUUAUGAUUUGGUCACGAUCGACUUCUACAAAAUCUACGUCAACGAGAAGAAUAUGCAUUCAUGUAUCUAUACACCUGGUGCAUCCUCACUCCUCAGACUCGUUAGUAAUGGUUCCUCGUGGAGUAGACGCUUGCAGUUAACUACCGUGCUCCAAGGACAUCCACUCCCUCCUCCUCAUCUUCGUCAUCGUCCCUUCCCUAUCGCGAAUCUGCGUCGAGAUACUUUUGACUUCUCUCUUCGAUCGAGUCCCUACUUUUGUGUGCUUUGUUUUAUAUUUAACUUCAGUAUUACAUUUUCUUAACACGUACUCUUCUUUUUUUAGCGUAGUAAACGUCACUUUGAAAACUAUGUUAUAUUUUCAAAAUAUGACAAUAAUUGUAUAUGUAUGUGUGUGUGCAGGCGCAUGUGAGAGAGAAAGAGAGAGCUAUCCGUGAAAAUAAUACUCAGCUAUCGAAAAGGAUUACAUGCUAUCGAUUUUGCGAGAGAUCGAACUCAUCGACCGAUGAAACUCGUAGAUUGAAGAAGAGAGAUACUCGGAGGUCGAAAGAAACAAGAUACAGGUACUCUCUCUUUCUCUCUUUUUUUUUGCAGUGGCAUUACACGGAGGUAGAAGGACCUACGAGUGAGUGUUCAUCGCGGAGAAUGUUCUCGCGUGUAAUGCCGUAUAAGAGAGAGAUAGACAGAGAGAGAGAGAGAGAGAGAGAAAGAGUGAGAGAGAGAGAGAGAGAGAGAGAGAGAGAGAGAGAGAGACUUCCAUCGCUUUUCUAACCA